UUGGACGGCCAGAGGGGCGGGGUUCACCGGAUCCCUUUUCGAACUCCGAAGUUAAGACCGCUUCCGUAUCGGACUGUACUGCACUACGCGGGAAACCCGGUAAGCUGUCCACU
rnacentral:rRNA from 1 species